rnacentral:lncRNA from 1 species
GUAAAACUGAUCACUCAACAAAUUAUAAAUAUGACAUUAAAGUUUGACAUGAAAAUCAAAGUAAAAAUAUAUAUAUAUUUUUUGAAUUAUGAACAAUUUUGUAUCAGUUAUCUAACCUUCCAAAAUUUUAUUUUUAUUAUCCAACUUCUUUAUAUGUUAGAUUUGAGGUAGUCAAUAGUUCUUUCACUUUAAAAUUUGAAUGUGUUGCUUAGUUAGUAUAUUUUUUGCGAUUCUUGCAACUAAAUUUAGUAAAAUAAAAAAUUAACUUAAACUCUACCAUCUUUUAAAUUUUUUAUUGUAAAAUUUAUUUCUAAGUGAUUAAUAUUAUAAAAUUAAAUUUAUAUUUAAUACAUACAA